AAGAAAAUGUCUAAUGGGAGCUGCGGACAGACAUAGAAAACACAGGAGCUGGAGGCCGUGAAGAAACAGAUCCAUGAUAUUGUGGAGAAGCAGGCCCAGCUGAGCGAGUGGAGAGCUGUGCUGGAAAUAUUCUGGGGUUGAUGCUCAUCAGUCCAGGGUAAGUAUACAGCUAACCCUCCUACCACCUCUACUCUGUGUGGUUCUCAGCAAAGGCCCGGUGUACCCAGAACACGAUCUUCCCAGAUGUCCUUCACCCUAUUUCACAGUGCAAGACAUGAACCAGGCCCUGGGCGACGACCUCUCUCCAUCCGCCGCCUCCGGUCUUCAGGAUCUCCACCAGAACCCGAUUCGCUCCACUUCGCGAGACAGAA